CCUACGGGAGGCAGCAGUGGGGAAUAUUGCACAAUGGGGGAAACCCUGAUGCAGCGACGCCGCGUGAGUGAAGAAGUAUUUCUGUAUGUAAAGCUCUAUCAGCAGGGAAGAUAAUGACGGUACCUGACUAAGAAUCCCCGGCUAACUACGUGCCAGCAGCCGCGGUUAUACGGAGGGGGCAAGCGUUAUCCGGAUUUACUGGGGGUAAAGGGGGCGUAGGUGGCAUGGCAAGUCAGAUGUGAAAGCCCGGGGAUCAACCCCGGUACUGCAUUUUAAACUGUCCAGCUGGAGUGCAGGCGAGGUAAGCGGAAUUCGUAGUGUAGCGGUGAAAUGCGUAGAUAUUAGGAGGAACACCAGUGGCGAAGGCGGCUUACUGGACUGUAACUGACGCUGAGGCACGAAAGCGUGGGGAGCAAACAGGAUUAGAUACCCGUGUAGUC
rnacentral:rRNA from 1 species